AUUGAACGCUGGCGGCAGGCCUAACACAUGCAAGUCGAGCGGGGUUUUCGGACCUAGCGGCGGACGGGUGAGUAAUGCGUAGGAAGCUACCCGAUAGAGGGGGAUACCAGUUGGAAACGACUGUUAAUACCGCAUAAUGUCUACGGACCAAAGUGUGGGACCUUCGGGCCACAUGCUAUCGGAUGCGCCUACGUGGGAUUAGCUAGUUGGUGAGGUAAUGGCUCACCAAGGCGACGAUCUCUAGCUGGUUUGAGAGGAUGAUCAGCCACACUGGAACUGAGACACGGUCCAGACUCCUACGGGAGGCAGCAGUGGGGAAUAUUGGACAAUGGGCGCAAGCCUGAUCCAGCCAUGCCGCGUGUGUGAAGAAGGCCUUCGGUU
rnacentral:rRNA from 1 species